rnacentral:rRNA from 1 species
AGCGAACGCUGGCGGCAGGCCUAACACAUGCAAGUCGAACGAACCCUUCGGGGUUAGUGGCGGACGGGUGAGUAACACGUGGGAACGUGCCUUUAGGUUCGGAAUAACUCAGGGAAACUUGUGCUAAUACCGAAUGUGCCCUUCGGGGGAAAGAUUUAUCGCCUUUAGAGCGGCCCGCGUCUGAUUAGCUAGUUGGUGAGGUAAUGGCUCACCAAGGCUACGAUCAGUAGCUGGUCUGAGAGGGUGACCAGCCACAUUGGGACUGAGACACGGCCCAAACUCCUACGGGAGGCAGCAGUGGGGAAUCUUGCGCAAUGGGCGAAAGCUCGACGCAGCCAUGCCGCGUGGAUGAUGAAGGUCUUAGGAUUGUAAAAUCCUUUCACCGGUGAAGAUAAUGACUGUAGCCGGAGAAGAAGCCCCGGCUAACUUCGUGCCAGCCGCCGCUGUAACAC